AUAUAUAUGCGUGUGUAUGUGUGUGUUCAUGUUUGUCUAUUUUUGUGAGGACUUCUUUUAAAACCUUAAAGGCCGAUUGAUGAUACCAGUGCUGCAGCUUUUAUGCACUUCCGUAAAAGUCCACAAACAUUUUCUUCUGCAUGCCUCCUCUGCUCCCCCCAUCUGCAGAGAAAGUUACAGUUCCACUUUUAUUUGUGUGUUAGCACAAAAGCUACAUAACAAAUUUUUUAUAGGUUUUGUCUUAAAAUUAUUAUUUAUUAUGUUUAUUUAUCACCAGUCUUAAUAAAAUCUGGUGAAAUGACCAGUUUCGUAAAGUGGAAGAAUUACUAACUUUUGGUCUUGAACUGUAGAUUUUGAUAAAAAACAAAACACGCAUGCACACACACGCACACACACAAAAACUAACUAUAUUUUAGAAAACAGCAUUUUAUGGCGUUUCUCUCAACUUUUCAAAUAGAAUAACUAAAAUUGUCAAGAUGAAAAACCCACUAAACCUUGAUGUUUAUUGAGAUCUGGGUGUGGAUUUUUUUGUUUGUUUCAUUUGUAUUCCUCUACCAAUGCCUUUCAUAAUUUUGCAACCAAGCCCGCUCCCCCAAACUAAUACAAUUUUUUUUUUAAUUUGUACAGAUCUGUAGACUAGUCUUGUCUUGGCAGGUGUGUACCUCGUGUGCUAUGAUGGAGCAUUUAAGGGGCAUAUGCAACACACAGAAAAGCACAAACAAUGCAAGCUGUUGUUGCUUUUUCACAGUGCCUUGUGAUCCAAGUGUGACGCAGCAACCGGCUGACAGUGAUUUAGCGGCUGACACUGCUGAUUGGCUGCCAAGUGUAAAAUCCUAGCUAUCUAACAAGCUUGCAUUAGCUGUCAGGCAACAUAAGGCCAUUUCUCCUCAUUUCGGCUCCGUUCUGUGGCGCCUGUCGGGUAUAAGAUAUUCAUUCGCCCUCUGCUGCAUUCACAUGUUGACAGUAGAGCAACAGUUGCACUGAUUGUUGUUGCAGAAUCACAGUCAUCUGUAGGGGCAGAUGGUGGAGGAUGAUGGGAGGAGCGGUAACUUUGCAGAGUUAAUUACAGAGAUAGUAAUUGCACUUAAUCAAUAGAUGC